ACCAAUGCAUCCUCAGAGCUCCGAGGGAAAAGCAACGACCAUGGCUGGCAGCUGAGGGAGAGAUCAGCAUCCCCAGAACUCCCUCUUGGUCUCUGUCCAGCCUUGAAGGUCUCCAUGGACCACUUUGAGCCAUAUAGGUCUGCCAAUCAGUGGCCUCUGCGCCCACGUCCGAAGCAGGAGAAAUCCAGAGAGCCCUUGGCCUCCGGAGGCGGCAGCAGGAGUGCUCUCGGAAAAGAGAGUGGGCCAGCCGGUGGGAGCCCAGCGCCCACCCACCGCUCAUCCUACAGCAGGACCAAAGCCCCCCAACCCCCAGCCUCCUGAUCCUCUCUCCAGGCCUUGGAGGAGGCUGCAGACCGGUUUAGAUACUCUGGGGUCCUAACUCAGCCCAUAGGGAUCAGAAAAGGCUUCCUGAAGGAGAAGAUACCAAGCCAAGCUGGGUUAAAGCCAAGCCCCCUGUACAUGUCUGGGCAUCCCAGAGGCUCUCACAGCCCACUCCAGUGGCUUGGACAACUGACUGCCAUCUUUGGCUAAAGACAAUGCUGGUCUCCACAGAGCACAGUAAGAGGAUCUUGUCUUGCUUUGCUUCCUCAAUGGAAGAAGCUUCAGUGGCUCCUCAUUCUCUGAUGAAGCAACUCAAACACCUCAGCCCAACUCUCAAGACCUUCCACAGCCUGGUCUCACCUGGCUCUUUAGCCUCAUUCUCAGAUUCCAUGUGAUGAGCUUUGUCAAACUGACUGGUUCCAGGUCCCCAGGGCACAGUGGCUCUGCCCUCUUCUCUGCCUGGGAGACCCUCUUCCCAUUUCCCAUAGUUAUUCUUCUAGGCAUUCUCCAGGAAGUACUUCCUGAACCCUUCCUCUUUGCCCCAACUCCUCUGGCUAGAAAUAACCUCUUGGCCCCUCUCUCUCCCUCCUGCCACCCUCAAGUUCAGGGUCAUGUGACCUAAACUUCCACUGUACUAUGAGCUGUAGGAUAAGGGCCACUUUUCAUCAUACUCCCUUCCCCCUCACCCACACACACCCCUGAAGGCCCACAUCAGUGCCCAGUUCACAAUAUGUGCAUAGUAUGUGUUGGCCAUCUUCACACUGUGAGCCAGAGGCCAGGGAGCAAGUAGGAGUCAGCACCCAGGAUGCUAGGACACUCCUGAGGCUGAGAUCUGCCUUAUCUCCACCUCGGCUGUUUCUUAAUAGGUCCCCAUGCUUCCAGCUGCUCCUUAGGAAAUCAGCCCCUCUAGGAGGUCUAGAAGCCACAUUCCUGAGACCAGAACAUGAAAAAUCUGGCCAUGUUCCCACUAGAUACAGAUGUCCACCCAGCCUCCCAUCGGGUGCCUGAAGUGUCAGCUGAGGUUUGCAUCAUCACAGCAUCUCUAAUUCCUUGCAGUCAGAAGAGAGCUGGAGAGUAUCAUACAGAGGCUGGGAGCAGUGAGAGGCAACAGGAGAAAAGCUGUGCGUGUGUCCCUGGUCCCGGGUGCCACAAGGUGCUGCAGCAUCACCAUCAAUUAACAUUGCUAUUGCAGGGAGCAUCUGAGUCCCCACUUACUUGCUGGCACUGUGCCUAGCAACUUGCCUAUAUUUUCAGUUUUAAAUCUCCUACUUCCCUGUAAGGCAGAAAUUAUAGAUCAACCUUGAUUUUACAGGGGAAGAAACUGAAGUUAAAUCGCUCAUCUAAGGUCACACUGCUAGUAGGUGGAGGGGCCCAGGAUUCAACCCCAGGCAUGCCUGACUCCAGGGCCUGUGUUUGUUCUAUCAUUACUCCUACACACAUUAGGCUUCACACAGGUUUACUCUGGAGAUACUGACAUAUUCUGUUCAUGUCUGGGGGGUAGUUACACAAGUACGUAUAAACUUAUGAUCUAUGUACUUUUCUGUGUUUAUGUUAUAACAUCAAUAAAGUUUCCUUUUUUUAA